rnacentral:tRNA from 2 species
CGGGACGUAGCGCAGUCCGGUAGCGUACUUGCAUGGGGUGCAAGUGGUCGCUGGUUCGAAUCCAGUCGUCCCGA